rfam:Camelus ferus unplaced genomic scaffold scaffold875, whole genome shotgun sequence.
CUUCCACUUGGCAGGGCUCAGCAUCCCCGGGCCCUCAACUCCUUAUCCAUCUGGGGCAGCUCCUCUGCAUCGGGGGCACUCAGCCCCCUCUCUCCUCAGGGUCUUGGCCCUCUACCUCCAGGCCCU